rnacentral:rRNA from 1 species
CAGCAGUAGCCGCGGUAAUACGUAGGUGGCGAGCGUUGUCCGGAAUCAUUGGGCGUAAAGGGAGCGCAGGCGGGCAUGUAAGUCUUUCUUAAAAGUUCGGGGCUCAACCCCGUGAUGGGAAAGAAACUACAUGUCUUAAGUACAGGAGAGGAAAGCGGAAUUCCCAGUGUAGCGGUGAAAUGCGUAGAUAUUGGGAGGAACACCAGUGGCGAAGGCGGCUUUCUGGACUGCAACUGACGCUGAGGCUCGAAAGCGUGGGGAGCAAACAGGAUUAGAUACCCCAGUAGUCCCUGUCUCUUAUACA